rnacentral:lncRNA from 1 species
GCGAUUAAAAAAGCCUUUACGUCAAAAUGGCAACACGAAUGGGACCAUUGUACAAACAACAAGCUACAUCUCACUAAACCCGUACUUGGCGAAUGGAAGUCAUGUAGUCAUCCG